UUUUUUCUUCAGUGUCAAAUGAAGUCAAGAAAGAAGAAAGUCAUAUUAUAACUCCCGGUUUAAACCUAUAGUGGGAAUGAUUUGAAGUUUCGGCAUGUAUGAGAGACAUAGGCGUAGGUACAGUUUCUGUUCCAAAGCAGAGAGGACUGUGGAUGUGGUCCUAAUUAAGAUCCAAAGGGAGACGGAUAUUUUUGGUCCAGUCCAACACUGUGCAGACCCCAGCUCUCAGACAGCCACAUCACAAGACAGCAAGAAGCCUCCAUUGGUGUGUUUACAAGAGGAGGAGGAUGUCAGCCCAGAGACCAACACUGAGGACAGUGUUUUUAAAGAG
ensembl:lncRNA